rnacentral:lncRNA from 1 species
CACUUGUCGCACUCACUGACGCAUGUCGGCUGCGCGCCUAUAAGUAUAGCCUAUAUUUCAAAAGCGCUGACUCCGGUGUAUUCCGGGGUGGAGGGAUCACCUCUCAUCCUCAAUGUCACUCACUCUCCCGGAGAGAUGGGCCGGCGCUUACAUGAACACUAAGGAUCUGAGCCCUAGGACCAUGCCCCAGGACUACCUGGCCUGAUGACUCCUGGCUAUGGAACCCUGACCUGUUUCAACUCUCUCUCUCUCUACCACACCUGCUGUCUCGACAUCUGAAGGCUUGGCUAUGAAAAGCCAACUGACAUUUACUCCUGAGGUGCUGACCUGUUGCAACCUCUACAACCACUGUGAUUAUUAUUUGACCCUGCUGGUCCCAUGGUGUUUAUACUUGCGUACUAUUGUUUGUACAGAUGAACGUGGUACCUUCAAGCAUUUUGAAAUUGCUCCUAAGGAUGAACCAGACUUGUUGGAGGUCUACAAUUUUUUUCUGAGGUCUUGGCUGAUUUCUUUUGAUUUUCCCAUGAUGGCAAGCAAAGAGGCACUGGGUUUGAAGCUAGGCCUUGAAAUACAUCCACAGGUACACCUCCAAUUGACUCAAAUGAUGUCAAUUAGCCUAUCAGAAGCUUCUAAAGCCAUGACACCAUUUUCUGGAAUUUUCCAAGCUGUUUAAAGGCACAGUCAACUUAAUGUAUGUAAACUUCUAACCCACUGGAAUUGUGAUACAGUGAAUUAUAAGUGAAAUAAUCUGUCUGUAAACAAUUGUUGGAAAAAUGACUUGUGUCAUGCACAAAGUAGAUGUCCUAACCGACUUGCCAUAACUAUAGUUUGUUAACAAGACAUUUGCGGAGUGGUUGAAAAACAAGUUUUAAUGACUCCAAUCUAAGUGUAGGUAAACUUCGGACUUCAACUGUAUAUGAACUAACAGGUUAUAGAGCAAACAACACAAUUAUCACAACACAUAGGUUGUAAUAUGGCUUUUUUUCUGGCUUGGCUUCCCCAGUGAUUUUUCCCACGAACCACUACUGUGUACUAUAGCAGUGUUUCCCAACCUCAGACCUCCAGUUCCCCAACAGCACACAUUUAAGUUAUAUCCCCGGACAAAAACACCUGAUUCAACUUGUUACAAAGUAGAAUCAGGUACUCGAGGACUGCAGUUGGGAAACACUGUACUAGAGCAUACAACAGUGUUCUAUUGGACCAAUAACAUCUGUCAGCCUGUCGUUGAUGUCCUUGUUUCUUUCCUCAGAGCAGCAUGUUGUCCUUCCAGCUGUUGAACACAUUUCACAACUUUUGAACCAUUUGACUGGUAGCAUAAUGUCUGUAAAAAGGCAUUUAUACCUGAGUAAACUGAG